rnacentral:ncRNA from 1 species
CUAUAAGCGCUGAGCAAGAGGACUAAUAGUGGUGCUUUUUAGAGAGAAGCUGGUUGGUGUAAAGCUUCAAGAACGCUGUUAGUUGUAGCUUGUGAGCUGUCUACCUGAACGACGAGAGUAAGGUAGACCGGUUUACGUCCGUUAACUAGUAUUUGAGAGGGGUUAAAAGCCCAAAUUAGGUGGUACCACGGCACUGUCGUCCUAUGC